rnacentral:rRNA from 1 species
UACGAAGGGGGCUAGCGUUGCUCGGAAUUACUGGGCGUAAAGCGCACGUAGGCGGGUCGUUAAGUCGGGGGGUGAAAUCCUGGAGCUCAACUCCAGAACUGCCUUCGAAACUGACGAUCUUGAGUUCGGGAGAGGUGAGUGGAACUGCGAGUGUAGAGGUGAAAUUCGUAGAUAUUCGCAAGAACACCAGUGGCGAAGGCGGCUCACUGGCCCGAUACUGACGCUGAGGUGCGAAAGCGUGGGGAACGAACAGG